rnacentral:rRNA from 1 species
CCUACGGGAGGCAGCAGUGGGGAAUAUUGGACAAUGGGCGAAAGCCUGAUCCAGCCAUGCCGCGUGUGUGAAGAAGGCCUUCGGGUUGUAAAGCACUUUCAGUGGGGAAGAAAGCCUUGGGGCUAAUACCCUCGAGGAAGGACAUCACCCACAGAAGAAGCACCGGCUAACUCCGUGCCAGCAGCCGCGGUAAUACGGAGGGUGCGAGCGUUAAUCGGAAUUACUGGGCGUAAAGCGCGCGUAGGCGGUCUGAUAAGCCGGCUGUGAAAGCCCCGGGCUCAACCUGGGAACGGCAUCCGGAACUGUCAGGCUAGAGUGCAGGAGAGGAAGGUAGAAUUCCCGGUGUAGCGGUGAAAUGCGUAGAGAUCGGGAGGAAUACCAGUGGCGAAGGCGGCCUUCUGGACUGACACUGACGCUGAGGUGCGAAAGCGUGGGUAGCAAACAGGAUUAGAUACCCUAGUAGUC